AUGACCAUAUCUAUAUAGAUUAAUUGAGUCUAGCUAGGUGACAACAACAGCAAGAACAAUAGCUGAGCCUGAGAUUGAGAACAAAGACAUUAUUAAUUUUGGGAAGGGUCGCGAAAUAUGAUAUUGGUGUUCUUGGUUGUAGCCUCAGUGGACUUGGACUUGGACUUGGAGAGAGAGUGAAAAAAAGAGGCCAUAGAUUGGACCAUGGAAUCAAACAUCAUUCGCUUCACUGACCUCCUUUUUGCUGGAAUCACACUUGCAAAAUUUGAAGUCUUUGGUUUAGAGCAUGUUGUUUUGUUGCCUGCUGCAACCACUUCCUUACCUGGGUUCUUCUUCAUUUCCUCAGAUGGGUUCAGCUUUUCCACCACUUUGGUUAUCUUCUAAAAUUCUGCAAUGGAUUAUGG
rnacentral:lncRNA from 1 species